AUGAAUUGCAUUUGCUAGAACUGUCGGGGUAUAGGCAACGCCCCAACGGUUCAAGAGCUUUGCAAGAUAGCGCUAAAGUUUAUCCCUAAAGUGCUAUGUAUAGUCAAAACUCAGAUUGGUAGAGUUAGGGCAGCAAAUCUUGCUAGCACCUUAGGUUAUGAUUGCUCUUAUGCUAUUGAUGCCACCAAAAGGAGUGGUGGUCUUGCUAUAUUCUGA
rnacentral:rRNA from 1 species